AGAUCAGAGCGUGGGGGGAAAUGCCAAUUAACCAGGUGGCAUACGGUGGGUAACGGAAAUGCCGGGGGGCGGGACAUACACCUGUCAAAAUCUGAUGAUGUAUAAUAGUGACGCCUUAUACUACUGUCCUGCGCCGCUCUACUCCGUCGGACCUCCAUCCUGGUCUGCUGGCCAGAGCCCACUUCCCAAAUACUGUAGGCGGAUAUUUGAACGAAACCGAAACCACAGCUCCAGUCCGGCGGAGUAUGGAGAUGGUGGGUCUGCUGCUCCUGGUCGCGCUGUUCACCCCAGGCUCAGAUGGCAUCCCGAGGGCCUACACAUCACAAUCAACUGUUGUCGGUGUGAGGAAUGAAGCCAGCAUCCUGCAGUGCCUGUUCUCGGUCACUCCGGGACCCAUUGACCCCAACAGUGUGGGUGUCACCUGGUAUCAGUAUGGCUUCCCAGUGGCCAUGUUUCAGAAUGGAGUGGCCUUGGAGAGACAGGACGCCUAUCUGUCUGAAAGUGACAUCGGGCAAGGAAACGCAUCCCUGCUGCUGAAGCCCACCGCCAAGAGAGAUGAAGGACAGUAUGACUGUGAAAUCGCCCACGGAGGGAAGAAACAUCUGGUCAGUAUGUCUCUGACCGUCAGAGUUCCCCCCGAAGUCGUCGUGUUUCCAGAGCGGGUUCAGCUGCGGACUGAGAACUCAGUGACCUGCGUGGCCAGGAGCUUCUAUCCCAAGACCAUCAGUUUCACUUGGAUGAGAAACGGCCGUCCCGUCAAAGAAAUGAACAGCACAGCACCUCGAAUGAAUCGGGACGGCACGUACAACUCGGAGAGCGUCUACCGCUUCACGGCCGGAAGUCGAGAUGAGCUGAGCUGUGUGGUGGAGCACGAGGCCCUGGAGCAGCCGCUCAGGAGAUUCAUCACCUAUUUGGGGUGGACCAUUGCAGAGAUGAUAACUGUCAUCAUUCCAGUGCUCGUCGUCUUCAUCGUUCUUCUCCUUGUAUGUUGGUGGUCCUCAGUGCUCCUGUCACCUCUUGUCCCAUCAAAACUAAAUAAAGUCGAGGGGGAGCAAGCAGAGGUUCACUGCACCCUCAAAAGCUGGACACUCAAACUGGUCACUCUGCAAUGGUUUCUGAAUGGCCAGAAGAUCUCAUUGGACCAAAAGGGCCCCCCAGCUUACACCCUGAAGGGGGGCACAGAAGAGAAAGGCAAUUGUCUGAAGAAGACCACCACCUUGAAGUUCAUGGCAAGUAGAAAAGACCACGCGGAGGCCAAGCUUAGGUGUCGGGCCACACACCGGCUCACCAGGAGGAGUGUGGAGUGCUCAGUCACGUUGGGACAGGUGUACGCUCGCCCUCAGCUCUCAGAUAUCGAGAACAUUUCUGGAGACUCGGACGCCGAUGUGAAGCUCCAGAUUACAGCUGAGGAGUUCCACCCUCGAGACAUCAGCUUCACAUGGACCCUGGGAGAAGAGAUAGUGACCACCGAAACACUUGAGAUAAUAGACAACCCCGAUGGGACAUUCAGCACUAGUAGCGUCUGCUCAGUCCCGCUGUCUCGGGUUCAGACGGCCGGAUUCACGAUCUCGGUAGAAGUCGAUCACAUUUCACAGGGAAAGCUACUGAGGACGGCCACCAGCGACACCCCAGGUAUCGAUGGGCGCCCCCUGCUGUCUGACAUUCAGGUGCUCAGGUUUACAAAGCUGAAUGAGCCCUGCACACUGAACUGCACCAUCUCCAGGUUCAUCCCCAGUGCUGUCACGGUCACCUGGCUGAGAGCUAAAGCGGAGGGUGGACAGCAGCCUGUCACUGCAGGGUCACCUCAUUGGACAGCCACAGUGAACACACCCACCCCUGAGAAGAGGAAUAACGUCUAUGAGGUGACCUCUGAGGUCCAGUUUACACCUAAACAGCUGUCUGAGUUUGAGGAGAUGACCUACAUCUGCAGGGUGGGACACGUGACCCUCAUGGGGCAGCUCACUGAGAAGAUGGCUGAAAAGCUGGAGUUAGAAGGCUGUCACAAAAUGCCCAGGGCGCCAGAGUUAAAGAUCCACUUUGUGGAGCUGAGCCAGCCAUGCAUCCUGAGCUGCACCAUCACGGACUUCUACCCCAAGGAGAUCAAGGUGACCUGGCUGAGAAGGGACAAGGAGAAGACUCAAUGGGAAGCUGGGACACCACAGUGGAAAGCCACCACUGCCCAUUAUGGCCCGUCAAUGAGAAAGAACACCUUUGAUUUGGUGACUCAGGUGAAAUUCACCCCCAUGCAGCUUUCUGAGCUCGAUGACAUGGAGUUCAUCUGCAGAGUGGAGCACUUGGCCCUUAAGGGGAAGUAUUUGGAGAUAAGCUCUGCAAAGGUUUAUAUACCAGGUUGGCUCCUGGCCCAGCAAGCAAAGACAUUUGGAACGACAGCUGGAUAUCUGGACAAUAACGAAAAGGGGUUCACCUCCAAACUCUACUUCGGGCCUGAAAGACACCAGAGUGCCUAGUGGUCCUCAGCAGCCGGACUAAGCAAAUCAGGACGAGGCUCCAAGUGGACGGCCGCAUGACAUGACGUGAAAAUGCCAAGGAGAAUGAUGGCACCUUAAAGACCUCACUCACCUGGAGCAGGCUGGACCAUCAGAGUCAUGGACUGUGACCCCUAAUACACUGAGCACUGAGUGUGGCUUUGCAGGACCACUCAGUUGGUUUCAAUUAUUUUCUUUUCCUCCCAGACUGAACUUGAAAUGCAAUUUUAAAAGUUUUCUAAUUCAAGAUUUUCAAAAUGAACAGAGAGCUGAGGCUUCUCACUGGAGCGUCCACAACAAGCUGGACUAGUUAAAAAGUAGGAUAUCACUUUGAAAAGAAACGGAGAGAGAAGAUGACGGAGCAGUCGGAAAGACUCGGGCUGCAAAGUAAAGAGAUUUAGGAAGAAAAGGCCUGGGUGUGCCAAAGUCUUAGGGGACGUGUCCCAUCAUGGCAUCUGUGACAAACUCUGUGUGACUGGUGACCUCAAGAACACACCUUGGACCGGCCAGGUGAGACCCCACAAUGGCACAACUCACAGACACCUACGGGCAAAUCAACAAAAACAACUUCUACCUGAAACACAUUUGGAAAAAAAAAAACAUCUAACGCAUCUUAACAUUUUGACAUCAGGCCAGUAAAGGAGAAGAAGAACGGAGACGAGACGCUCCACUCACCCCUUGACUGGCUUCAUGACAAUCGCAUUCCAUGAAAUAUCAAAUUAUCUUCAGAACUCUGCCACUGAUUGUUAAGGAUGUUCAUUCCAACCCUCCAGAUGACCCUUUGUCUUGUCCAGGCGUCUCCUCCUCUGCUGGUCUUCUCACUCAUUAUUUGACUCCAAGGCUCGCUUAUCCUUCCUCACACACCAAAUGGUCUUCUUCAAUCUCCUCUCUUCUUUUUAAAUGGACUCCCAUCAUUUAUUCUCCUUUCUUAUUUGACUCUUCUGUCCCCAUUGGACUGAUGUUCACUUAACUCCUCUGCUGUCCCUCUGCUACAAGGACAUUUUUUAUUUUGUUCUGCUUGUUCUUCCUAUUGUGUGGAUUGUGGAUUUAUAUUUUAUUGUAUUUCUCAUUCUUUACAUGCUGAAUUGCAGUGCCUUUGACGUAUUGUGUGAGGUGCCUUUUAAAUAAAAACGGAGUGACCGUUGAGUUAUUCUGUCAGCGCCA